rnacentral:lncRNA from 1 species
AGUGGGUCUGCCGAGUAAUGACGCGGUAUUCAGACACCCCGUCUCGCGCCUUUUUUCCCUGUGCGCAUUCUGCUAAAUCUUUUGAGCCAUGAACCUGCGGGCUGCGAAUAGCUACCUAUACAUGUCCUCGGGCGGCACUAUCUCGCCGGCACUGCGCUGAAAAUGAUUAAACAUCUUUUCGGCGCUGACCCAGGGUCGCCGACUCAGUCGGAAUUGUAACCCUAGUUUUCAGCAUAACCAUAACCUCGGAGACGCAUACCUCUAGGGCUCAUCCCCUAGCCCGCGAGCCUUGGCUCGCGUGGGGGCGCACAACAUCUUAGUUGUCGACCUUGGCUUUCGUUUCCAAAUUUUUGUCGCCUGUUCCGGGCGCUUUGAUCAGAUUGGUUCAGACAGGGUUGGGGUUCAGACAGGCGCUCAGCGCCGAGCUUUGGGUUCGAAGUUCCAUGGCGGCUCGCGGGCGGCUGGUCGCAUGAGUUCUUCGGUGUUGUGUUGUCAGUGGUUUCUGUGUUUGCAGGUAGUGGGUAGCCCUCGUGGUCGCCCUUGGCCCGGCGCAACGGCUGGCGCAUCGGUGCCUCGCCUGUGUGCGCCUCGGCGUCUUGCCUCGUGGCGCCCAGUCAGCCGUCGUCUCUGUCUGCGGUCUUCCUGGCUCUGCAGAUUUUAGCCCUGGGGGUUUUAGCUCGCAGCAUACGGUUCACGGACCGGUAGGCGCGUGGUGACCGCAGUCGGGUAGUCCCGGGUUUGGGGUGUGUGUGCACGGGCGGCUGUUGCCCGGGCGCCCAGGCGACUGUUGGCUCUUCUCGUCUCCGAGUGCCGCUGGGGCUUGUGUGGAGGGUCGGCCUGGGUCGUUGGUUGGACGGUUGGCGGGUGGUGCGCCCUUUGAGAGGGGCUGUGGUGUGCUGUGGCGUGGUGGUGUUUCGGCUUGGCUUCCGGUUCCAGUUGUGCCUCGGCACAGACUAUCAGACAUGGGCCUUCGGGCCAAGACAUUGCGCGUCUCUGACGCCAGCCAUCGUCUUCGGACGUGAUAUUUGUGUGGUGCUUGCGUUUGAUGGGGCUGUCGGCAGACCACUGGCCUGUCGUGCCUUGUUUUGCGUUGGUGCUGCCGCCAAAAGACCUAAAAGAGAUGAGGGGUGUUACGUGGCGGUGGGGCUUUGGCGGGCUUCGGCUUGGCUUCGACUCAUGCGCGUACCGCUAUGAAGGUCGGCAGUCAACCAGGGGGUGGGUGUUUCUCUCUGGGCCGGAGACGGUCCCUCGCGGCGUGGGUACGGUGUGCCCCCGCUUGUCGGACUGUCCCUUCAAUUGUAAUUCGCAUCCAUAACCAUAAAAAACACAAACUACUAGCCUCUAGGGCUCAUCCCCUAGCCCGCGAGCCUUGGCUCGCGUGGGGGCGCACAACAUCUUAGUUGUCGACCUUGGCUUUCGUUUCCAAAUUUUUGUCGCCUGUUCCGGGCGCUUUGAUCAGAUUGGUUCAGACAGGGUUGGGGUUCAGACAGGCGCUCAGCGCCGAGCUUUGGGUUCGAAGUUCCAUGGCGGCUCGCGGGCGGCUGGUCGCAUGAGUUCUUCGGUGUUGUGUUGUCAGUGGUUUCUGUCUUUGCAGGUAGUGGGUAGCCCUCGUGGUCGCCCUUGGCCCGGCGCAACGGCUGGCGCAUCGAUGCCUCGCCUGUGUGCGCCUCGGCGUCUUGCCUCGUGGCGCCCAGUCAGCCGUCGUCUCUGUCUGCGGUCUUCCUGGCUCUGCAGAUUUUAGCCCUGGGGGUUUUCGCUCGCAGCAUACGGUUCACGGACCGGUAGGCGCGUGGUGACCGCAGUCGGGUAGUCCCGGGUUUGGGGUGUGUGUGCACGGGCGGCUGUUGCCCGGGCGCCCGGGCGACUGUUGGCUCUUCUCGUCUCCGAGUGCCGCUGGGGCUUGUGUGGAGGGUCGGCCUGGGUCGUUGGUUGGACGGAUGGUGGGUGGUGCGCCCUUUGAGAGGGGCUGUGGUGUGCUGUGGCUUGGUGGUGUUUCGGCUUCGCUUCCGGUUCCAGUUGUGCCUCGGCACAGACUAUCAGACAUGGGCCUUCGGGCCAAGACAUUGCGCGUCUCUGACGCCAGCCAUCGUCUUCGGACGUGAUAUUUGUGUGGUGCUUGCGUUUGAUGGGGCUGUCGGCAGACCACUGGCCUGUCGUGCCUUGUUUUGCGUUGGUGCUGCCGCCAAAAGACCUAAAAGUGAUGAGGGGUGUUACGUGGCGGUGGGGCUUUGGCGGGCUUCGGCUUGGCUUCGACUCAUGCGCGUACCGCUAUGAAGGUCGGCAGUCAACCAGGGGGUGGGUGUUUCUCUCUGGGCCGGAGACGGUCCCUCGCGGCGUGGGUACGGUGUGCCCCCGCUUGUCGGACUGUCCCUUCAAUUGUAAUUCGCAUCCAUAACCGCUGAAAAUUGCAUCCAUAGGGCAACCAUAAAGCCGGGGUCCGUACGGACCCCGGUGCAAGACGUCUGUGGGGGUGUCCCUCCAAGGAGGGAGGGGGAGGGGGGU